AGCUUACUUUGACUGUUUGACUUGUUGACCAACCAACUUUUCAGUACCAACUACAUGUCGUUUCUUGAGUCAGCAAUCGCCUGCUUCUCAAAUGCAUUCGCCUUGAAAAUCCAAACCCCAACUCCCAUCUUCCGAGCUCCGACCCAAACAUUUCCCCACCCAGAAUACCUCUGCUUCAUCCUCUCAACCAACCUUUCCGUCACUUUCCCCAGAAAAAAAAUUAAAAGAAACAAGAAAAGGAAAUGGAGAACUCAGCACAAGAAUCCCAUCUCGGUCAGGAGAACUCGGUGACGUACGAGUCUCCGUACCCUCUCUACGCCAUGGCCUUCUCUCCCUCCCAAACACGAAACCGACACCAACACCACCGAAUCGCCGUGGGUAGCUUUAUCGAGGAGUACUCUAACCGGGUCGACAUCCUCUCCUUCGACCCGGAUACCCUUUCUGUAAAACCAAACCCGACCCUCUCCUUUGAUCACCCUUAUCCACCCACCAAGCUCAUGUUCCACCCAAACCCUAACUCCCUCCACAAAAGUAACGACGUCUUAGCGUCUUCUGGCGACUAUCUCCGUCUCUGGGAGGUUCGAGACUCUUCCGUCGAACCCAUCCAGGUCUUGAACAACAGUAAGACCAGCGAGUUCUGUGCCCCAUUGACCUCAUUCGAUUGGAACGACAUCGAACCCAGACGAAUUGGGACUUCCAGCAUCGACACCACCUGUACCAUUUGGGAUAUUGAAAAGGGGGUCGUUGAAACCCAACUCAUUGCGCACGAUAAAGAGGUUUACGACAUUGCCUGGGGCGAAGCUAGGGUUUUCGCUUCGGUUUCGGCUGAUGGGUCCGUGAGGAUCUUCGAUUUGCGGGACAAGGAGCAUUCUACCAUUAUCUACGAGAGCCCCCAGCCUGAUACCCCUUUGCUUAGAUUGGCUUGGAACAAGCAGGACCUGAGGUACAUGGCCACCAUUUUGAUGGACAGCAAUAAAGUUGUGAUUUUGGAUAUCCGUUCGCCGACUAUGCCCGUUGCCGAGUUAGAGAGGCAUAGGGCUAGUGUAAAUGCCAUUGCUUGGGCACCCCAGAGUUGUAGACACAUCUGCUCUGCCGGGGAUGAUACUCAGGCACUUAUUUGGGAGCUGCCCACGGUCGCAGGGCCCAAUGGGAUCGACCCCAUGUCAAUGUAUUCUGCAGGGGCAGAGAUUAAUCAGUUGCAGUGGUCUGCUGCACAGCCUGAUUGGAUUUCGAUUGCAUUUUCUAACAAGAUGCAGCUUUUGAAGGUUUGAGGUGCAGGACGCUUUUCUCAUUUGGAUUGUGAAGUGCAUUGCUUUGAGUCUAUGACUGAUAUGUAGUGAUCUGUUUUGGGCCUCCUGAUGGAAGCAGUGAAGAUCACUUGGCGAGUCAGCUGGAAGUACUUACUUGUUCAGUCAGCUGUAGGGUUGUUUGUAAAGGAAUACGGUUAGCUUUGAACUGGUAGAGAUCUAUUUAUUGCUUAUUAUCUACUAGUCUUGUCAUCUUGGUCUAGAACCCCAAUGAGAGUACCGUAUCUUACCCUCUCACUUUUCAUCCCUUGUUAGAUCCAAUGUUAAUUGUACCUGUUAGUGUUGCACUCCCUCGAUUGCAAAUGUUAUAACUUAUUUCCUCAUGUUUGACAGUACUUUAUAGAAAGAAAAAGAAAGUUGUCAAGAAGAUUUUGAGUGGUUCUAUCUAUGUAUAAAAAUGAAGUGGGGGAAGGAUUUAUCUGCACUUGGUAAAAGAAGUGAGGCUAGAUUUUUUGGA